rnacentral:rRNA from 1 species
AAUAUUGCACAAUGGGGGAAACCCUGAUGCAGCGACGCCGCGUGAGCGAAGAAGGCCUUCGGGUCGCAAAGCUCUGUCCUAAGGGAAGAAACGGACGGUACCUAAGGAGGAAGCCCCGGCUAACUACGUGCCAGCAGCCGCGGUAAUACGUAGGGGGCGAGCGUUGUCCGGAAUUACUGGGCGUAAAGGGCGUGUAGUCGACUGAUUAAGGUAGAUGUGAAAGGACCCGGCUUAACCGGUGUAUUGCGUUUGAAACUGGUUAGCUUGAGUGCAGGGGAGGAAAGUGGAAUUCCUAGUGUAGCGGUGAAAUGCGUAGAUAUUAGGAGGAACACCAGUGGCGAAGGCGACUUUCUGGACUGCAACUGACGCUGAGGCGCGAAAGCGUGGGUAGCGAAC